GUCCCUGUAGUUCAAUAGAUAGUACGUUGGACUUCUAAUCCAAAGGUCGUGCGUUCGAAUCCCAUCUGGGAUG